GACGAACGCUGGCGGCGUGCCUAAUACAUGCAAGUAGAACGCUGAAGAGAGGAGCUUACUCUUCUUGGAUGAGUUGCGAACGGGUGAGUAACGCGUAGGUAACCUGCCUUGUAGCGGGGGAUAACUAUUGGAAACGAUAGCUAAUACCGCAUAACAAUGGCUGACACAUGUCAUUUAUUUGAAAGGGGCAAUUGCUCCACUACAAGAUGGACCUGCGUUGUAUUAGCUAGUAGGUGAGGUAAUGGCUCACCUAGGCGACGAUACAUAGCCGACCUGAGAGGGUGAUCGGCCACACUGGGACUGAGACACGGCCCAGACUCCUACGGGAGGCAGCAGUAGGGAAUCUUCGGAAAUGGGGGCAACCCUGACCGAGCAACGCCGCGUGAGUGAAGAAGGUUUUCGGAUCGUAAAGCUCUGUUGUAAGUCAAGAACGGGUGUGAGAGUGGAAAGUUCACACUGUGACGGUAGCUUACCAGAAAGGGACGGCUAACUACGUG
rnacentral:rRNA from 1 species